rnacentral:rRNA from 1 species
AACGAACGCUGGCGGCAUGCCUAACACAUGCAAGUCGAACGAGACCUUCGGGUCUAGUGGCGCACGGGUGCGUAACGCGUGGGAAUCUGCCCCUCGGUUCGGAAUAACACAGAGAAAUUUGUGCUAAUACCGGAUAAUGACUUCGGUCCAAAGAUUUAUCGCCGAGGGAUGAGCCCGCGUAAGAUUAGCUUGUUGGUGGGGUAAUGGCCUACCAAGGCGACGAUCUUUAGCUGGUCUGAGAGGAUGAUCAGCCACACUGGGACUGAGACACGGCCCAGACUCCUACGGGAGGCAGCAGUGGGGAAUAUUGCACAAUGGGCGAAAGCCUGAUGCAGCAACGCCGCGUGAGCGAGGAAGGCCUUUGGGUCGUAAAGCUCUGUCGAGGAGGAAGAUAAUGACGGUACUCCUCGAGGAAAGCCCCGGCUAACUAACGUGCCAGCAGCCGCGGUAAGAGUCACGUCG